rfam:Felis catus isolate Cinnamon breed Abyssinian chromosome A3, whole genome shotgun sequence.
GCCUGGGUGGCUCAGUUAAGCGCCUGACUUCAGCUCAGGUCAUGAUCUCACAGUUCGUGGGUUCCAGCCCCGCGUCGGGCU